rnacentral:rRNA from 1 species
GAACGAGAAAGGGUAGCAAUACCUGAGUAAAGUGGCGCACGGGUGAGUAACACGUGACUAACCUACCCUUGAGUGGGGGAUAACUGAGGGAAACCUUAGCUAAUACCGCAUAAUACCUACGGGUCAAGGGAGCAAUUCGCUCGAGGAGGGGGUCGCGGCCGAUUAGUUAGUUGGCGGGGUAAUGGCCCACCAAGACUGUGAUCGGUAUCCGGCCUGAGAGGGCGCACGGACACACUGGAACUGAAACACGGUCCAGACUCCUACGGGAGGCAGCAGUGGGGAAUUUUGCGCAAUGGGGGAAACCCUGACGCAGCAACGCCGCGUGGAGGAUGAAGUACUUCGGUACGUAAACUCCUUUCGAUCGGGACGAUUAUGACGGUACCGGAAGAAGAAGCCCCGGCUAACUUCGUGCCAGCAGCCGCGGUAAUACGAGGGGGGCAUGCGUUGUUCGGAAUUAUUGGGCGUAAAGGGUGCGUAGGCGGUUUGGUAAGUCUCGUGUGAAAUCUCUGGGCUCAACUCAGAGACUGCACGAGAAACUGCCGGGCUUGAGUGUGGGAGAGGUGAGUGGAAUUUCCGGUGUAGCGGUGAAAUGCGUAGAUAUCGGAAGGAACACCUGUGGCGAAAGCGGCUCACUGGACCACAACUGACGCUGAUGCACGAAAGCUAGGGGA